GUGAUGCCAAGGGGCCCGUCAAUAUCCGUUAAGUUUGGGCGAAUAGACGGAAAAGCAACAGCGUAGAGAGGAGGCCGCUGAACGGAAGGAGAACUCCGCAUGACUCGGACGCCAUAGGCAGGCAGGAUGAGGGCAUCGCAAAGACACAGGGGGCAUUAAAGGCAAAAAUUUCGUAAAAUUAUCACCGUCGGCGCUGUCAUCAAUAUGGAGGGCGCAGCAAAGAGAUGCCGUUUCUUCUUCCACAAGGCGAACUGAUAGAGUUCUCGAAAACUCCGAUAAAUGCACAGAGCUAACACGACUUUAAACUAUCACUAAUUUCACGCCUUCACUUGUACUUUUAUUAUCUCAUUAACAUGUCACUCACAUCGCAUUUUUACACCAAAUAUUCGCUUACCUUUUAACUCGAAAUUAUUUGUGUGAGGGCGUUGUGUAAGAGCUACAAGCCAACAUGGCGAUCGGCUGCGAAAGUUCAAAUGCUGCGCGAAUUGGCUGCGCGAUCGCUUCUAUGCAUUUGCCCCCGGAGAUUUCAGACCGCUGCACUUGACUCGCUUGACUCGCUGGAUGGGUACGCGGGCUCCGUCCUACCCAUUAACGAAUCCACAUCUGCGUACCAUAGCAUACGCUCGCUUAUUACAUGGAUCAGACGCUCUGUCAUUUCCGUUCUACUGGAUCUUCAUUAUGAAUAUGAUUGCUUCAUCUUUACUAAAUUACUGUAGUGAUCCAUAGCGAUCUACGAUGCAUCGUUGCACCGACAAUAUGAUGCACAAUCGAAUAUGCGAUACACCGAAACUCAACAGGCGGGAAGUUAAGGGGAAAAAUUCGCGGUAUUAUGAAGUGUGCGGAUGCCAAAUUUGACCCACCGAUUUAUAAUUUACUAUUGAAAUUUGAAUUACAGUUACUUUUGGAUUUCGUUAUCAAUUAAACGCGGGGAGUACAGGGGAUAUAAAAUAGUAAUCACUAUAUAAUUAUCAUGGGAAUAACAUCUUAUUUAUUUUUUAUCUUUUAAAUGGCUCUUCGUGUAGCUGCCUAGCGUAGAUAAAAUACCUAUUUGAACAUAACGCUUUUUACGUCUCAUAUAACACUAUUAAUACAAAUGAUUAAAAUCUAAUAAUAACCUGCAGAAAGGAUAUAACAACAAACC